AUUGAACGCUGGCGGCAUGCUUUACACAUGCAAGUCGGACGGCAGCACAGAGAAGCUUGCUUCUUGGGUGGCGAGUGGCGAACGGGUGAGUAAUAUAUCGGAACGUACCGAGUAAUGGGGGAUAACUAAUCGAAAGAUUAGCUAAUACCGCAUAUUCUCUGAGGAGGAAAGCAGGGGACCUUCGGGCCUUGCGUUAUUCGAGCGGCCGAUAUCUGAUUAGCUAGUUGGUGGGGUAAAGGCCUACCAAGGCGACGAUCAGUAGCGGGUCUGAGAGGAUGAUCCGCCACACUGGGACUGAGACACGGCCCAGACUCCUACGGGAGGCAGCAGUGGGGAAUUUUGGACAAUGGGCGCAAGCCUGAUCCAGCCAUGCCGCGUGUCUGAAGAAGGCCUUCGGGUUGUAAAGGACUUUUGUCAGGGAAGAAAAGGCUGUUGCUAAUAUCGACAGCUGAUGACGGUACCUGAAGAAUAAGCACCGGCUAACUACGUGCCAGCAGCCGCGGUAAUGCGUAGGUCCCGAGCGUUGUCCGGAUUUAUUGGGCGUAAAGCGAGCGCAGGCGGUUAGAUAAGUCUGAAGUUAAAGGCUGUGGCUUAACCAUAGUACGCUUUGGAAACUGUUUAACUUGAGUGCAAGAGGGGAGAGUGGAAUUCCAUGUGUAGCGGUGAAAUGCGUAGAUAUAUGGAGGAACACCGGUGGCGAAAGCGGCUCUCUGGCUUGUAACUGACGCUGAGGCUCGAAAGCGUGGGGAGCAAACAGG
rnacentral:rRNA from 1 species